rnacentral:rRNA from 1 species
UACAGAGGUCCCAAGCGUUGUUCGGAUUUACUGGGCGUAAAGGGUGCGUAGGUGGCGGGGUAAGUCUGGUGUGAAAGCUCCGAGCUCAACUCGGAAAAGCAUUGGAAACUAUCCCGCUGGAGGGUCGGAGGGGAGACUGGAAUUCUCGGUGUAGCAGUGAAAUGCGUAGAUAUCGAGAGGAACACCAGUGGCGAAGGCGGCACUCUGGGCCGGUACUGACGCUGGAGGAGCGAAAGCGUGGGAGCAAACAGG